AACGAUGAAGCCAGCUUGCUGGUGGAUUAGUGGCGAACGGGUGAGUAACACGUGAGUAACCUGCCCUUGACUCUGGGAUAAGCCUGGGAAACUGGGUCUAAUACCGGAUAUGACUCCUCAUCGCAUGGUGGGGGGUGGAAAGCUUUUUGUGGUUUUGGAUGGACUCGCGGCCUAUCAGCUUGUUGGUGAGGUAAUGGCUCACCAAGGCGACGACGGGUAGCCGGCCUGAGAGGGUGACCGGCCACACUGGGACUGAGACACGGCCCAGACUCCUACGGGAGGCAGCAGUGGGGAAUAUUGCACAAUGGGCGAAAGCCUGAUGCAGCGACGCCGCGUGAGGGAUGACGGCCUUCGGGUUGUAAACCUCUUUC
rnacentral:rRNA from 1 species